GCUGACAUUAGAGCUGUGUAGUGGUUUUCUAGGACCUUUUCCACAAAGACACAGUCUGCACUUCGAUUACUGGCCUUCUGAGAGAGCAGAAAAACCACAGUUGCUAACAAGCCCAACGCUGCCCGGGGGCCAAGGCUGUGUCGUCAGUCCCAUGAAGAGACUUUCAGAUUUCCACCAUUUUUUUGGCAUUAGGAUGCUAGUCGUGUCUGUCUGGAGAAGAACCUGAAUUCACAAAGGCAGCCUUUGGUCGCACUCUAACUCUGUCUUUAACUGCUCCCUGCCGCGCACUGCUUGUCUAACUGACCAGGAUAUACAGGAAAGCGAUUAGAUGUGAACAAACAUGCGCGGUGCUCUAAAGAGUUGUUCUCUUUAUCUCAAAACUAUAAUGGCACUCUGAUACAGCCUUUUCUGUUUAUGCCAGUCUGUAAACAAAUCAUCUAUGAGAUAUUUAUCUAAUCCCAACCACAGUAUAAUACCUGAUUAGAGACAAGUAUGAUUGAGGCUUUAUGACACUGCUUUUACGUUGAUUGUGUUGAUACAUGUACAGACCCACUUAAGUGAAUUAAAGGCGUGUAAUGCGUA